AGAUUGAGUUAAUUUAGGUUUAUGUUGAUUGUUUAUUAGAUAGAUAAUUUGUAUUAUGUUAGAGGAUUAGUUGGGCUAUAUAUUUUAUUAGUACUGUGAGGGAAAUUUUAGAUUUAUGUAAUAGAUUAGAGGAUUUUAGUACCUUUUGUAUUAGGGUUAAUUAAUGUUAAUUGCUUGAUUAGUUUUUUUCGAAAAAUGAUGGGCUAAGAAGAGAUGAGUUUGUUUGUUGAAUAAAAUUAGUUGAUUUUUUCUUAGGUGAUGAUAUAUUAUUCAAAUUAUUUUAUAUCUGGUUUUUUAAUAGUAUAAUAGAUGGUAAUUUUAUCUGUUCAUUAUAAUGGGAUUAGCUAUUAUAAUUUUAAUAUGAUUUAUUUUUGUGAUUGUUUUUAGUUAAAUUGGAAGUGUUAAUUUUGAUUGUGUUAUAACUAGUUAGGGUAGUUGGUGAUAUUGGUGGAGUUAUUUGACUAUUAGGGUUUUUAUAAUAAUUUUUAUUUUAAAGUAAUAAUGAUUGGAUUAGUAAUGAGGUGAGAUUGGAUAGGAAAUAGGAUUUGAAGUGUUUGAUUUUGAUUUUAAUGUUAAUUUGAUUUACUUUAAAUAACUCGGCAAAAAAGUUUUUGGCUGUUUAGCAAAUACAUUGUUCUUUGUUAGAUUAAAGAAUAAUUUCUGCCCACUGCGGUUUUAUGAUGGUAAAGGGCUGCGGUAUUUUAACUGUAUGAAGGUAGCAUGAUCAUUAGCUUUUUAAUUGAUAGCUGGUAUGAAAGGGGAAACGAAGAUUAGCUGUUUCGGGGUAAUGUGAUGAAUUUUAUUUUUAUGUGAAAAAUCAUAGAUUAGUAAAAGGGACAAGAAGACCCUAAUAAGCUUUAUUUUUUUAGUUUGUUUGUUAAUAUAGGUUUAUUUAUUAGAUUUGGAUUAAGAUAAUUUGAUUGGGGCGAUUAAAUAUUAGACGUAUUAUUUAUUUUAACAUAUUUAUUUGGUGUUUGAUUUUGACCUAAUUUGGUUAAGUAAGAGAGAAGUUACUGUAGGGAUAACAGCGUAAUUUUUUUUAAGAGUUCUAAUUGACGGGAAA
rnacentral:rRNA from 1 species